GUCGAGAAUCUUUCACAAUGGGGGCAACCCUGAUGGAGCGACGCCGCGUGGAGGAUAAGGUCUUCGGAUUGUAAACUCCUGUCAUGCGUGAACAAGGUUGCUUGGUUAAUACCUGGGCAAAUUGAUGGUAACGCAAGAGGAAGAGACGGCUAACUCUGUGCCAGCAGCCGCGGUAAUACAGAGGUCUCAAGCGUUGUUCGGAAUCACUGGGCGUAAAGGGUGCGUAGGUGGCGUGGUAAGUCAGAUGUGAAAGCCCGGGGCGCAACCUCGGAACUGCAUCCGAUACUGCCAUGCUAGAGUACUGGAGAGGUGACUAGAAUUCUCGGUGUAGCAGUGAAAUGCGUAAAUAUCGAGAGGAAUACCAAAGGCGUAGGCAGGUCACUGGACAGUUACUGACACUGAGGCACGAAGGCCAGGGGAGCGAACGGGAUUAGAAACCCGUGUAGUCC
rnacentral:rRNA from 1 species